GUGGGGAAUCUUCCGCAAUGGACGAAAGUCUGACGGAGCAACGCCGCGUGAGUGAAGAAGGUUUUCGGAUCGUAAAGCUCUUUCGUUAGGGACGAACGUGCUCUUUGUGAAUAAUGAGGAGUAAUGACGGUACCUAAAUAAGAAGCCACGGCUAACUACGUGCCAGCAGCCGCGGUAAUACGUAGGUGGCAAGCGUUGUCCGGAAUUAUUGGGCGUAAAGCGCGCGCAGGCGGGAUAUCAAGUCUGUCUUAAAAGUGCGAGGCUCAACCUCGUGAGGGGACAGAAACUGGUAUUCUUGAGUGUCGGAGAGGAAAGUGGAAUUCCAAGUGUAGCGGUGAGAUGCGUAGAGAUUUGGAAGAACACCAGUGGCGAAGGCGACUUUCUGGACGAUGUCUGACGCUGAGGCGCGAAAGCUAGGGGAGCGAACGGGAUUAGAUACCCGAGUAGUCC
rnacentral:rRNA from 1 species